rnacentral:rRNA from 1 species
GACGAACGCUGGCGGCGUGCUUAACACAUGCAAGUCGAGCGGAAAGGCCCUUUCGGGGGUACUCGAGCGGCGAACGGGUGAGUAACACGUGAGUAAUCUGCCCCUGGCUUUGGGAUAGCCACCGGAAACGGUGAUUAAUACCGGAUACGACCACUUCUCGCAUGGGAUGGUGGUGGAAAGUUUUUCGGCCAGGGAUGUGCUCGCGGCCUAUCAGCUUGAUGGUGAGGUAAUGGCUCACCAUGGCUUCGACGGGUAGCCGGCCUGAGAGGGUGAACGGUCACACUGGGACUGAGACACGGCCCAGACUCCUACGGGAGGCAGCAGUGGGGAACAUUGGACAAUGGGCGGAAGCCUGAUCCAGCAACGCCGCGUGAGGGAUGACGGCCUUCGGGUUGUAAACCUCUUUCAGCAGGGACGAAGCGCAAGUGACGGUACCUGCAGAAGAAGCACCGGCCAACUACGUGCCAGCCGCCGCGGUAA